rnacentral:snoRNA from 1 species
GCGAGGUGAUGAUCCAUGUAUGAAAGUCUGUCAAUCCCCUGAUAUGUCAUGCAAGUGAUGACCCAUCAUACAUCCCGACAGGCUCUGAUCGC